rnacentral:lncRNA from 1 species
UUAACUGUCUCAGUUUCAUUGAGAUGUUAGUUAAUAUAAGUAGAGUAUGCUAAGAUCUAUCAUCCCUGGAAUGGCUGUUUUGGAGGAAAAUCUUCAAGUCAACCAAAACAGAAGAAAAUUGUAAAAGCAAAUAGCCCUUUAUAUGGACUUUCGCCAGCAAUCUGUAAUAAUUGUUAUAAACAAUUAAGAAAUGUUAAAAUUGAGAGCUAAACUUGGAUAGAGCUAAAGGUUUUGCUUUAGAACUAUUAAGUACAUUUUAACUCUAUUACAUAUAAUGUUGGAGUAAUUUUUUUGAUGUUAAACAAAUUAUUUAUUAUGGUAGAGGGUGUGAUUUGCUUUCUGGGCUAAGAAAAAUGGAAUUUUACUCUUGACUUUCCGUUAAUUUAAAUGAUCGAAAACCC